rnacentral:lncRNA from 1 species
CGAGAGUCCUGAUGACUUCCCAGAGGAGAGCCACCUCCUAGCAGAUCCUUGAUCUAAGAGUUGUUCAUAUCAAAUCUGCCCUGAGGGUUUGUCUGCGGAAUGUCUGCUAAAUGAGUCACCAGCUCCUUAUUCACAUUCGGACUAGAAAGCAACUGUGGAAGUCAAGGCCAGAAAUCACUCACUAUAUCAUCUGAUAUUCCUCUGAUCGUUAUACCUAUUCUCAGUGUUAAGGAAAUGAGACCAGUUGAA